rnacentral:misc_RNA from 1 species
CUGAGUACUACACUCUCUACCCUUUGUGAACUAUUAUACCUGUUGCUUCGGCGGCGCCCGCAAGGGUGCCCCGCCGGUUCUCAUCAGAAUCUCUGUUUUCGAACCCGACGAUACUUCUGAGUGUUCUUAGCGAACUGUCA